CGCCUCUCGGAGUUGCACCUGGAGAGUUUUUAGUAUUCUACCAGUCUAGACUACGGGAGGGACAGUCAAGCAGAAGCAUAAUCAUUCCAUUCCUAGCUUGGGCAGUGGUUAGCAAGUGGAAGGCAAUCUGCUACAAGU